rnacentral:sRNA from 1 species
GCCAGGUGUGGUGGCGAAUGCCUGUAAUCCCAGGGCUCAGGAGGCUGAGGCAGGAGGAUCACAAGGCUGAAAGCUAGCCUCAGUAACUUAGGAGGCUGUAAGCAAUCUAGUGAGACACUGUUCCUA